UCAGACGAUGCGUCAUGCAUAUCAAUAAGCGGAGGAAAAGAAACUAACAAGGAUUCCCUUAGUAACGGCGAGUGAAGCGGGAAGAGCUCAAAUUUGAAAUCUUCAAGGUUUUUACCUUGACGAAUUGUAGUUUAAAGAAGUGUUUUCUGCUGAAGUUUUGGUAAAAGUUCUUUGGAAUAGGACAUCAUAGAGGGUGAGAAUCCCGUAUUUGACCAUUAUUUUCAGCUUUGUGAUACACUUUCAAAGAGUCGGAUUGUUUGGGAAUGCAGUCCAAAAUGGGUGGUAAAUUUUAUCUAAAGCUAAAUAUUGGCGAGAGACCGAUAGCGAACAAGUACCGUGAGGGAAAGAUGAAAAGAACUUUGAAAAGAGAGUUAAACAGUACGUGAAAUUGUCAAAAGGGAAGCGUUUGACACCAGUGUUGUUUUCUCGAAAAUCAAUUAAAAAUGGCUCGAUUUUGUAUUGCUGAGACCUUAAAAGCUCACUGUACAUUUUUCGUGUCUUUUUUAAUGCACUUUUCGUUUAACAAGUCAACAUCAGUUUCUUUUGUUGUAAAAGGGUCAUUGGAAGGUGGCUUUCUUUUCGGAGAAAGUGUUUAUAGCCUUUGGCCUCUGCAAUCGGAGAGACUGAGGUCUGCAGCGUAGACUCUUCGGGGUUAGAUACAUUUGUGCUAAGUUAUAGCUUUUUAUAGACAACUUGUUGACUAUAAUUAGUCUUGUAGCUUACUCGCUUAUGCUAUUUUACCUACGCUUAGGAUGUUGAACUACUGAGACAUAG
rnacentral:rRNA from 1 species